rnacentral:rRNA from 1 species
GUAUAAGAGACAGCAGUAGCCGCGGUAAUACAGAGGGUGCGAGCGUUAAUCGGAUUUACUGGGCGUAAAGCGUGCGUAGGCGGCUUUUUAAGUCGGAUGUGAAAUCCCUGAGCUUAACUUAGGAAUUGCAUUCGAUACUGGGAAGCUAGAGUAUGGGAGAGGAUGGUAGAAUUCCAGGUGUAGCGGUGAAAUGCGUAGAGAUCUGGAGGAAUACCGAUGGCGAAGGCAGCCAUCUGGCCUAAUACUGACGCUGAGGUACGAAAGCAUGGGGAGCAAACAGGAUUAGAUACCCCAGUAGUCCCUGUCUCUUAUAC